rnacentral:lncRNA from 1 species
CCUGUUCCCAGGGUCAAACCCAGGUCUCCUGCAUGAGAGACAUGCACCACAGCAGAGGCCAUCAGCAGAACUGCAACUGUUCCUCAUGACUAAGUCUUCCCUGCAGCCAGCUCCCACCUUCAUUUUAUGGUCAGUGGGAGACAGAAAGGGGGAGUAAUGGGACUCUUUUCCUAUCCCUGAUGCUGCUGUCUCAGUUGGAGGAGGGACUGAGCCUGGGCAGGCUGUGACUAAUUUUUCAGUCGACAGUUUUGGCCAACUGAUAAAGGGACCCAGAGCAGAUUCCUCUCCUCUGCCUGAACUCCACGAGAAACUGGAGCCUUGGUACCAGCAGAGGCACACUCGCCCCCACCUACUUCCUCGGAGUUCAGAAUACAUUUGA